UGAACAGCCGUUGCACACGAGUCAGUCGAUCCUAAGCCCUAGGAGAAAUCCUAUGUUGAUGACGGUGUAUUAUUCUAAAGUAUUUAACUAAAGUGCACACCCGUCGGGCGAAAGGGAAUCCGGUUCCUAUUCCGGAACCCGGCAGCGGAACCGCAAUAAAUUCGGGCCCUCUUAUGAGUGUUCGGCGGGGUAACCCAAAGUGACCUGGAGACGCCGUCGGGAGAUCCGGGAAGAGUUUUCUUUUCUGUAUAAGCGUUCGAGUUCCCUGGAAACCUCUAGCAGGGAGAUAGGGUUUGGAACGCGAAGAGCACCGCAGUUGCGGCGGUGUCCGGAUCUUCCCCUCGGACCUUGAAAAUCCAGGAGAGGGCUACGUGGAGGUGUCGCGCCGGAUCGUACCCAUAUCCGCAGCAGGUCUCCAAGGUAAAGAGCCUCUAGUCGAUAGACUAAUGUAGGUAAGGGAAGUCGGCAAAUUGGAUCCGUAACUUCGGAAUAAGGAUUGGCUCUGAGGAGCGGGGCGCGUCGGGCUUGGUCGCGAUGUGGGUCUGACUGACGUGCCGGGCCUGGGCGAGGUGAAUGAUCCUUCUUCACGGGAGGGUCGGGAUCCGAGCUCGGUACCGUGCCUUGGUCUCCCGCGGAUCUUCCUUGCUGCGAGGCUUUUGGGGCGGUUAAGCCGUCCCGAUCGUUCUCUUCGGCCGCCAUUCAACGCUCAGCUCAGAACUGGCACGGACUAG
rnacentral:rRNA from 1 species